rnacentral:rRNA from 1 species
GACAGAGGGUGCAAACGUUGUUCGGAAUUACUGGGCGUAAAGCGCGUGUAGGCGGCUAAGUAAGUCGGGCGUGAAAUCCCACGGCUCAACCAUGGAAGUGCACUCGAAACUGCAUAGCUAGAGUCCUGGAGAGGAAGGUGGGAUGCUUGGUGUAGAGGUGAAAUUCGUAGAUAUCAAGCGGAACACCGGUGGCGAAGGCGGCCUUCUGGACAGUGACUGACGCUGAGACGCGAAAGCGUGGGGAGCAAACAGG